GACACCGGUUUCCGCCGCCUGGGGACCCUGGCUGCCCAUCGCUUCCUUUCCAUAUCUCCGCCAGCUAUUAAUUCCACCGGGGUGGAGUAUUGAAAGUACGAAGCAAGCUUGAAAACUGAUUAGGUGUCUCGGUGAUAGCGCUGGAAGAGAGCUGUUGGCUCUGCUGAACUCCUUGCAGUGAAUUAUAGCUCCCCCCAGCCCGGUUCCACUCUCAACUCGUAAAUGUCACGGGCUGCGAGAAUCUUAAUAUUUCACCUAUUGCAUGUAGUAUAUAUAGUCAAUGAUUCCAUGCCCGGGCUAUGUUACGGGGACUGUUUUGUUAACUGCUGAGAUGAAUAGCGUGAGAUCCUGCCUGUUUGAAUACAGAUUGUACUUUUUUUUCUAUUGAGUUAUCAAAUCGCAGCGUAGCUGCGGAAACAUGCAAUUGUCCUUUAAAAACAAAAACGCCGCAGGAAACAAACUGCUGGUCUACCAGAGAGAGCAAAGAGAACAUUUGUUCUGGAGACCUCUUAAAGCAUCUUAAUUCCUUCCUCCCCACCCGGGCCUGACGGAAAUGAGGGCAUCCUAGCGCGCCAGGCAGUCAUUUUCUUCUCCGAAGGUGUGUUGUAUACAAAUACGAACUAUUUCGUGAGAAAUUUUCUGCGUAUUGUACUUUGAAGCAUCCAUCCCUGGAGGGGUGAAAUACGUUGUCAAUAUCCGAUGACAUCUAAUCUGUUCAAAGGAAGGUCUCUAAUUGUUGACGGGAAAAAUAAUCAGCCAGCCAGUCUGAUUCGCAGCUGGGGCGUGGUGAGACAAGCAGAGAACAUCCCCUGCUGGACCCAGCCUUUCGCUGCCUUCCAGAGUGGGCAUUUCACUCUAGGUUUUAUUUUAAAUCUCGGGACAGAGCAAAACAGGUCAGGAGCCCGAGCCUGCUGCUCUUGAAACCGAGAGCGCCCCCACUAACUGCGCGGGACCCAACUCCGUGCAAUGGAUUGUUUGCAUGAUUAUUAGUGGAUUGAAUUAGCUGAUUUAUUUUGGACUGUCUGGCAUUACAAGUGUGGCAGGCCUGGUGCCUGCCGAUGAGGUUAUGCAGAGCUCAGCUUGCAGGAUCCAUGUCUCAAAUGGGUGCCUUGAGAACAUGGAUCAUUUAAAUCGCGGGGCAUUACAACAAUCGGUCUGAUAAGAGGAAGGAGUUCCCCAGAGGCGGAGUGGAGAGCUUUGCAGCGUGCCAAUCACCGCUACAAUUCUUCCGCUUAUGGCAGGCGGCUGCAAUCCCCAAUGCGCUGCAGGGAGCGAUGCUGUCUGCGCUUGUGAACACCUUGGCCACGUGUCUCAUUCUCUGGGUGGCAUCGCAGGUGGAGGGGAUCAGAGGUAUGGAUGGCUGCCGUGGCUGACCUCCUGCAGCAAAGAUUGAUUGACUGAUUGAUUUUAAUUUUAUUGGCCAGCCUCUCCCAAUUAAGUGAGUAGUUAGUAACCCAAUUAAAUUACAGGGUAAAAAGCAAUCCCCAGGAAAGGGGAGGGAAAAAAAAGCUCAGGCCCUCACUCCCAGCCCUACAGCAUUCAGAAGAAGCAAGACCCGCCCGGGUCCUUAGGCUGCGGGCGGCGUCAGGUGAAUGAGAAGAGGCGAAGGAGGUAGAGGUGCACUUGCUAGACACGUGGAGAAUCCAGCCUCUGCAGCAGCGUGACUGACAGCUCUGGAAGUUGGUUUUUCCAAAGGAGCAUGUAUAGCGGCUUGGCGAUCUCGGAGUACUGGUGAAUAAAGUCUUUCAAGAAUCCAACCAACCCCAAGAACGACCGCAGUGUGCUGACAUCCAUGGGCACAGAUCAAAGUUUUGAAAAUUUUCAUCAAGCUCUUUGUGAAGUACCAUUCAAUGAGACAAUUGAUACGUUAUCCAUGGUCAUCCAUUUCUGGAUCACUCAGUCAACUUCAUAGGCACGAAUCUGACCAGCUUGACCUGUAGCCAUUCUCACUCCAUUUAAUAGAUCUAUACCAAGGUUUGAAAGGAUUGGGGCAUAUCACAGCUUGUCAUGUUACUUCCAUUCCUGGGCUCAUCCUCCAUAAGAACAGCAUUAGGUGAUCCUUGUAUGACAGAGCAUCCUAUUAUGUUAUGACACUCGGUCAAGGUGAACCUGCUAUUAUGUACUGCAUUUGAUCAAUGGAACCCAGCCAUGAAUUAAGAAAUUUUACUAGACUAAAAAUGUUCCUUUCUUCUCAUUACCUGUUCGAAGGAUAACAUGACCUGAGUCUUUCAUAAACUCCAGAAUUCAACUCCAUUUCCUAAAAGAGAAGCAAACGUUCAAAGAAAGAGGUGGAACAAUCAACCUAAUGCAAAUAAACAUUCAAACAAAGGCAAAUUCAAACAUUUAACAG